rnacentral:rRNA from 1 species
AAACCAAAAAAGUUAUAACAACAAAACUAAUCGCCUGAGAACUACUAGCCAAAGCUUAAAACUCAAAGGACUUGGCGGUGCCUUACACCCACUAGAGGAGCCUGUUCUAUAAUCGAUAACCCCCGAUAAACCUCACCAGCUCUGUAAUUCAGUCUAUAUACCGCCGUCUUCAGCAAACCCUAAAAAGGAACCACAGUAAGCACAAAUACAUAACAUAAAAACGUCAGGUCAAKGUGUAACCUAUGAGCUGGAAAGAAAUGGGCUACAUUUCCUGUUAAAGGUUAUCCACACCUAACUUAC